AUGCAAGUUGAAGGGGGUACAUUGUUGUAGCACUACCUUGGUGUACUUACUGGCGGACGGGUGAGUAACACGUACGGUACCUACCCUCAAGCGGGGGACAACCCGGGGAAACCCGGGCUAAUACCACAUAAAACCUCGGACUGGGAUGUUUGUGGUAAAAGUAGCAAUACACUUGGGGAUGGGCCUGCUGCCUAUCAGGUAGUUGGUGAGGUAACGGCCCACCAAGCAUAAUACGGGUACUCAGACUAAGAGGUUGGACGGCCACACUGGAACUGAGACACGGUCCAGACUCCUACGGGAGGCAGCAGUGGGGAAUUUUGCACAAUGGUCGAAAGCCUGAUGCCCCGACGCCGCGUGGAGGAUGAAGGCCUUCGGGUUGUAAACUCCUUUUGUAGGGGAAGAUAAUGACGGUACCCUGCUUAAUAAGCCACGGCUAACUCUGUGCCAGCAGCCGCGGUAAGACAGAGGUGGCCAGCGUUGUUCGGAAUCACUGGGCUUAAAGGGCGCGUAGGUGGUAGUGCAAGUCUGGGGUGGAAUUUUAGGGCUUAACCCUAAAAUUGCCCAGGAAACUGUAUUACCUGAGUCAGUGAGGGGAAGGUAGAAUACCCGGUGUAGCGGUGAAAUGCGUAGAUAUCGGGAGGAAGCCCUGUGGCGAAGGCGGCCUUCUGGCGGUGAAAUGACAGUGAGGCGAGAAAGCGUGGGUAGCAAACAGGAUUAGAUACCCUGGUAGUUCACGCCCUAAACGGUGGGUACUAGGUGUAGGGCUAGUAAGGGUUCUGUGCCGAAGCGAAAGCAUUAAGUACCCCGCCUGGGGAGUA
rnacentral:rRNA from 1 species